rnacentral:lncRNA from 1 species
GAAAACUAGUUAAAGUUAGACUGAAAAUCAGAUAGAAUUAAGGACAACAGGGAAGUCUUACUGAAUUUCUUUCCUUGCAGUAAGGAGGUUUGCUGCAAUAGUAGCAACAGAGGAAACAUACAGCUCUUUCUUGCAUCUAGAGAAUACCUCAAGCACCAGUAAAAGCUCAGCCUGCGUUGUCUGCCCAGGAUACGUUGAGAAUGAGAAACUGGUUUGGACAGUGCCUGACUUUUGA